ACAGGUAAUGAAAUUGAAACUGUAAUAAAAAAUCUUCCAACAACAGAGAAGAUUAGCAUGGCCCCUGUGCAAGGAUGACACGCAAAUUGGUGAAGUGUUCCAUAUAUUU